GAUGAACGCUGGCGGCGUGCUUAAUACAUGCAAGUCGAACGGAAAGGUGCGGCGCUUGUGGGGCGCACGAGAGGGGAAGGGGGGAGAAAAACGCGUGUAAAACGCACUUGACAUAGGGGUAAAUUCUGGGAAAAGGGGAUAAAAUACGGUAGGAGAUAUUGAAGCACGGGGGGGAAUGGAAAAAGACGGUGGUUGGGGAUCGACUCGCGGCUUAUCAGCUUGAUGGUGGGGUAGGGGCGUACCAAGGCUUCGACGGGUAGCCGGCCUGAGAGGGUGACCGGCCACAUUGGGACUGGGAUACGGCCCAGACUCCUACGGGAGGCAGCAGUGGGGAAUAUUGCACAAUGGGCGGAAGCCUGAUGCAGCAACGCCGCGUGCGGGAUGACGGCCUUCGGGUUGUAAACCGCUUUCGCCUGUGACGAAGCGUGAGUGACGGUAAUGGGUAAAGAAGCACCGGCUAACUACGUG
rnacentral:rRNA from 1 species